AUAUAUAUAUGUGACAUUGAUAUCUCACCCUUUGUAUCUCACCUCGAAUGAGGGAGAGACUCAGAGCGGCUUACCACCUCCCCAUCUCCUUCCCAGCCACCUUUUCUGCUUCCUCCGCUGCUGCUGCUGCGACUGCCACCGGUCUGGUCUGUGCAGAGAGGGGGAGAGGGCCUCCCGCGACCCCGAGUAGUAGACCAGCGACCUCCAGGCAGAGCCGGGACUGAGCGGGAAGGAGGCCGAGUUACAGGCGGCACUGGGCAGGGAGACCGCUCAAGUGGAGGAGCUCAAGCAGAGGGGUCAGGUGCUGCAGCUGUUCCAGCAAGCCAAGGAACGCCACUCUGUGGCCUGGACCACAUGAAUGAGUGAUCCUCACGUAGCCACAGUAUCUUCCAGCUCCACAUCUAGGGCAACCAUGUCGCCCAGGAGGUCCACAACUCCUGUGAGUGGGCCCCACCUCUCCCUUUUUCUUUCCCAGGCCGACGCCUUGCCUCCUCACCUGGCCUCUCUGCGUAUGGUUGGCUAAUUGCACCGUGCCAGGUAGGACGGCGCUCUGGAAUGUUCCUUUCCCUUCUUGCCCAGAGAAGUAAUUCCCCCUUCCCUGUGGAAGCACGUUACAAUUCCCGCUGCCUUCCUUCAGAAAGCACAGAAUAUUUUCGAGGAUCCACCUCACCCUGGAAACUAGUCUUCUCUUUGUAAUUGUCUUAUCUGUCCGAACGUGUCUCCCGCUACGACCCACCUCGAAGCUUAAGAUCGUCAGAUGAGACCCUGCUCGCGGUCCCGUCAGCCUCACGGGUGCGGCUGGCGGGGACGAGAGACAGUGGUGGCUUUUCAGUGGUGGCUCCCCGCCUAUGGAACGCCCUCCCCAUUGAAGUCAGGCAGGCUCCCUCCCUCCUGUCUUUCCGAAAGAGGACAAAAACAUGGUUAAGGGACCAGGCAUUUGAGCAUAAGUAGCAGCAAAAAUGAGAUAUGAAUAUAUGACCUACUGACAGACCCCACAUGAACAUGGAACGCGCCUUAAAUGUAUAUUUUAAUGUAUAAUUAUGUAUAUUUUAAUGGAUAUUCUUAAUUUUAUUGUAACUUUUAAUCUUGAUGGAUUUUUAAAUUUGAUGACAACUGCUUUUAAUGUGUAUGGUUAUACUGUAAGCCGCCCUGAGUCCCCUGAUGGGUGAGAAGGGCGGGGUAGAAGUGAUGUAAUAAUAAAUAAUAAAUAGUUACUAUCUGGCAGACGGGAUAGGAUGACACAAACAAGGCCCAAGAGGUUGAGAGAGAGCUCCAUCUCCUAGAGCUGUGACUAUAUUGAACUCUCUGGUUUCACAUUCAUCUGACCUUGGAGGCUGUGCCAUAGUUAUUCAAAAGUGGAAGGAUGUCCCUUGUGUUUUGUAACGUAAACGAGGUAGAAAUCCAAUGGAAUAGUAUUUUGAAUGUGGGAAAAGAAUAAAGUUGAAAUUCAAA